UGGCCAUAACACGUUGAAACACCAGUUCUCGUUCGAUCAUCGAAGUUAAGCAACGUCGAGUCAGGUCAGUAGUACUUAAAUGGGUAACCGCAUUGUAG